rnacentral:lncRNA from 1 species
AAACCCAUCAAUAUUCUGAAGCCUUACUGCUUUAUCUACUUUCAAAUUAAACCGAGUAAUGAUUUCUCUGUGAUAGUUCCGAUGAUAUAACUGCAAAAUAAUAUAUUUAUACGAAAAUAUAAGGUUUUGGUGAAAGGCUUCACUCCAGGAUUUGAAUAAUAAUGAAGUACCUCUCUUUGCAGGGCUCAGUCAUUAGCACAUUCCAUUCAGUUUAGAAGAAAGCAAUGCCCUCGUCUGGGCAUGCCCACGGAAUAUAAGUAUUUCCAAAGCUGGAGAAAACCAAUAGUUCUGGGGAAGGAAUUUUGAAACUACCUCUUAUUGGAAGCUAUCAGUAAAAAAUCCUUGAAGAAUAGGAGAAGAGAGGAUGGAGCUGAAGCCACAUUUAAUCUCACCCCCCUCCCCCCCCCCCAAAAAAAAAAAAAAAAAAGUUGGGGGCUUAAAAAGGAACAGGAGUUGGCAAAUUCAGACUUCUGUGAGGCAAGUUAAGGACACAGGAUUUGCAUAGAACGAGACUGACAAGGCCAUGAAGCAUCUAAUCAGCUUGUCAGCUGCAUCCUGCAGGGCUCUGUAAUCUGCAGUGAACCAUGCACUGAAUUUCUGCCUCUGCACUGUGCAGAGCAUGUGUUUACAUUGCUGGCAACCUUAUCACAUGCUGUUCCAAGCACAUGGGGUCUGUGGAGGCCUGCUGAGAAAAUCCUGAAGAAAGUCUGGUGCCCUUACAAUGGGAAGAACUCAUGCCAGCCACAGCAUCUGUGGGAGACAGAUGAGGUGCAUGCCCUCCCCACAUCCCUGCUUUGCUGGUGGCACUGGAAAUUACGUGGCUGGCCCCAUUUCAUAUCUGGGGAUGUUCAGAUGAGUUAGACCCACACGCGAGC